UGGGGAAUUUUGGACAAUGGGGGCAACCCUGAUCCAGCAAUGCCGCGUGAGUGAAGAAGGCCUUCGGGUUGUAAAGCUCUUUUGUCAGGGAAGAAACGGCUCCGGCUAAUAUCUGGGGCUAAUGACGGUACCUGAAGAAUAAGCACCGGCUAACUACGUGCCAGCAGCCGCGGUAAUACGUAGGGUGCAAGCGUUAAUCGGAAUUACUGGGCGUAAAGCGUGCGCAGGCGGUUGUGUAAGUUUGUCGUGAAAUCCCCGGGCUCAACCUGGGAAUUGCGAUGAAGACUGCACGGCUAGAGUGUGUCAGAGGGGGGUAGAAUUCCACGUGUAGCAGUGAAAUGCGUAGAUAUGUGGAGGAACACCGAUGGCGAAGGCAGCCCCCUGGGAUAACACUGACGCUCAUGCACGAAAGCGUGGGGAGCAAACAGG
rnacentral:rRNA from 1 species